GACGAACGCUGGCGGCGUGCUUAACACAUGCAAGUCGAACGAUGAAGCCGGAGCUUGCUCUGGUGAAUUAGUGGCGAACGGGUGAGUAACACGCGAGUAACCUGCCCUUGACUCUGGGAUAACUGCGGGAAACUGUAGCUAAUACCGGAUACGACCCUCGGAGGCAUCUCCUGGGGGUGGAAAGAAUUUCGGUCAAGGAUGGACUCGCGGCCUAUCAGCUAGUUGGUGAGGUAAAGGCUCACCAAGGCGACGACGGGUAGCCGGCCUGAGAGGGGAACCGGCCACACUGGGACUGAGACACGGCCCAGACUCCUACGGGAGGCAGCAGUGGGGAAUAUUGCACAAUGGGCGCAAGCCUGAUGCAGCAACGCCGCGUGAGGGAUGACGGCCUUCGGGUUGUAAACCUCUUUUAGCAGGGAAGAAGCGAAAGUGACGGUACCUGCAGAAAAAGCACCGGCUAACUACGUGCCAGCCGCCGCAGUAA
rnacentral:rRNA from 1 species